GUUUGAGCAUGAAAAGAGAACAAUCAGACAAAAAUCAAUGAGAUGAAAUGGUAAGUAGCAACGCACUUCAUGUGUAAAUCAUACACCACAGUUGCAUGUAAUCCAAACUCAAAAGCCCAGACUACCUUCAUGAAAAUCAUAAUAACACAUCUCUACAAGUCUGGUUUAGGCAUUACUCAAUUACAUAUAAAAAAAAUUUUCCUUUCAAGCAAAUUCAAGAUCAUAAAGAUUUUGUAACAGGUUCUAUGCAUCUCCACCUUCUAAAAUGCUUUCCAUCCCCACCUCAUGAACAAGCUAUGCAUUAAACAAUGUGUUCAGAAAUUGGCUUAAAAGAGCAGAAAGUAGUAAUUGUAAUGAUAAUGAAACACGAAGGCACCUGGUAAUUAUGUCACAUCAGGGGAAAAAAAACACCUGAUCUAAAGCCUAAUCUGUGCAUCGAGCCUUUUUUUUUACCCAAACUUUUGGAGCCUUCACCAAACAUAAACACAGACCUAUCCAGAGACCAGGGGACAAGUAUGCCUUGGAAUUCACACCAGAUUCCUUGCCAAUCUAAAGAACAAUAUGCACACGCACAAAUCUAUAGCACAUAUUCACUGAUUCAAUGCCAGAAAUGAACUUACAGAGUACAUAUUCAUUUUCCAAAUCCAACGAGAAGGAUAAGUCUGUUUAGCGUUUUGGCCAUGUCAGAUGAAAACAAGUAGGCAAGCUCAAACGGCAGUAAAAUUCUUUGUAAGAUAUGAAAUGCCAUAUAAAAUCACAAGGACAAUUCAGCAAUAUCACCAAAAUGACACUGAUUAAUCACAGGCAUAAGAAAGGAUCAUGAGAGAAAGACAAAGGAAAAGAAAAAUACCAGCACAAAAGAUGAAUGGAGGUA
rnacentral:misc_RNA from 1 species